rfam:Gossypium arboreum cultivar AKA8401 contig_12556_1, whole genome shotgun sequence.
UAUUAAAAAUUUCAUUCAUUUGUACUGUUAAAAACCUGCAUGAUUAAUGGAAUAACUAAACAGAGACAUGUGACAUGUCACGUGUAUCUUGUACUAAUAUACAUGAAUUAAUUUUUAAUAGGAAAAAUGAAUAAAUUUUUUUGAA